rnacentral:rRNA from 1 species
UGGGGAAUAUUGCACAAUGGGCGGAAGCCUGAUGCAGCGACGCCGCGUGGGGGAUGAAGGCCUUCGGGUUGUAAACUCCUUUCGACAGGGACGAAGCUUUUGUGACGGUACCUGUAUAAGAAGCACCGGCUAACUACGUGCCAGCAGCCGCGGUAAUACGUAGGGUGCGAGCGUUGUCCGGAAUUACUGGGCGUAAAGAGCUCGUAGGUGGUUUGUCGCGUCGUCUGUGAACUUCCGGGGCUUAACUCCGGGCGUGCAGGCGAUACGGGCUGACUUGAGUGCUGUAGGGGAGACUGGAAUUCCUGGUGUAGCGGUGAAAUGCGCAGAUAUCAGGAGGAACACCGAUGGCGAAGGCAGGUCUCUGGGCAGUAACUGACGCUGAGGAGCGAAAGCAUGGGUAGCGAACAGG